GAUGAACGCUGGCGGCGUGCCUAAUACAUGCAAGUCGAGCGAACAGACGAGGAGCUUGCUCCUCUGACGUUAGCGGCGGACGGGUGAGUAACACGUGGAUAACCUACCUAUAAGACUGGGAUAACUUCGGGAAACCGGAGCUAAUACCGGAUAAUAUAUUGAACCGCAUGGUUCAAUAGUGAAAGACGGUUUUGCUGUCACUUAUAGAUGGAUCCGCGCCGCAUUAGCUAGUUGGUAAGGUAACGGCUUACCAAGGCAACGAUGCGUAGCCGACCUGAGAGGGUGAUAGGCCACACUGGAACUGGGACACGGUCCAGACUCCUACGGGAGGCAGCAGUAGGGAAUCUCCCGCAAUGGGCGAAAGCCUGAAGGAGCAACGCCGCGUGAGUGAUGAAGGUCUUCGGAUCGUAAAACUCUGUUAUUAGGGAAGAACAAAUGUGUAAGUAACGAUGCACGUCUUGACGGUACCUAAUCAGAAAGCCACGGCUAACUACGUG
rnacentral:rRNA from 1 species